UACGGAGGGUGCAAGCGUUAUCCGGAUUCACUGGGUUUAAAGGGUGCGUAGGCGGCGCGGUAAGUCGGGUGUGAAAUCUCGGAGCUUAACUCCGAAACUGCAUUCGAUACUGCCGUGCUUGAGGACUGGAGAGGAGACUGGAAUUCAUGGUGUAGCAGUGAAAUGCGUAGAGAUCAUGAGGAAGACCAGUGGCGAAGGCGGGUCUCUGGACAGUUCCUGACACUGAGACACGAAGGCCAGGGGAGCAAACGGG
rnacentral:rRNA from 1 species